rnacentral:rRNA from 1 species
UUGAACGCUGGCGGAAUGCUUUACACAUGCAAGUCGAGCGGCAGCGCGGGGCAACCUGGCGGCGAGCGGCGAACGGGUGAGUAAUACAUCGGAACGUGCCCGACCGUGGGGGAUAACGCAGCGAAAGCUGUGCUAAUACCGCAUACGAUCUACGGAUGAAAGCGGGGGACUCGCAAGAGCCUCGCGCGGACGGAGCGGCCGAUGGCAGAUUAGGUAGUUGGUGGGAUAAAAGCUUACCAAGCCGACGAUCUGUAGCUGGUCUGAGAGGACGACCAGCCACACUGGGACUGAGACACGGCCCAGACUCCUACGGGAGGCAGCAGUGGGGAAUUUUGGACAAUGGGCGAAAGCCUGAUCCAGCCAUGCCGCGUGCAGGAUGAAGGCCUUCGGGUUGUAAACUGCUUUUGUACGGAACGAAAAGACUCCUUCUAAUAAAGGGGGUCCAUGACGGUACCGUAAGAAUAAGCACCGGCUAACUACGU